rnacentral:rRNA from 1 species
GAGUUUGAUCAUGGCUCAGAGCGAACGCUGGCGGCAGGCUUAACACAUGCAAGUCGAACGAUAAGCUAGACUUCGGUUUAGUGGACAGUGGCAGACGGGUGAGUAACGCGUGGGAAUCUACCUUUGAGUGGGGAAUAACAAUUAGAAAUGAUUGCUAAUACCGCAUAUACCCUCCGGGGGAAAGGCUUCGGCCGCUCUUAGAUGAGCCCGCGUACGAUUAGUUUGUUGGUGAGGUAAAGGCUCACCAAGACUACAAUCGUUAGCUGGUUUGAGAGGAUGAUCAGCCACACUGGGACUGAGACACGGCCCAGACUCCUACGGGAGGCAGCAGUGGGGAAUAUUGGACAAUGGGCGAAAGCCUGAUCCAGCCAUGCCGCGUGAGUGAAGAGGGCCUUAGGGUUGUAAAACUCUUUCGACAGGGAAGAUAAUGACGGUACCUGUAUAAGAAGCUCCGGCUAACUCCGUGCCAGCAGCCGCAGUAAUACGGAGGGGGCAAGCGUUGCUCGGAAUUACUGGGCGUAAAGCGAGCGUAGGCGGUUAAUCAAGUUGGUGGUGAAAGCCCGGAGCUCAACUCCGGAACUGCCAUCAAAACUGAUUGACUUGAGAUUGGUAGAGGAAAAUGGAAUUCCUAGUGUAGAGGUGAAAUUCGUAGAUAUUGGGAAGAACAUCGGUGGCGAAGGCGAUUUUCUGGGCCAAAUCUGACGCUGAGGUUCGAAAGCGUGGGUAGCAAACAGGAUUAGAUACCCUGGUAGUCCACGCCG